rnacentral:rRNA from 1 species
CCUACGGGUGGCAGCAGUGAGGAAUAUUGGUCAAUGGGCGCGAGCCUGAACCAGCCAAGUCGCGUGAGGGAAGACGGUCCUAUGGAUUGUAAACCUCUUUUGUCGGGGAGCAAAAGACGCCACGCGUGGCGUUCCGAGAGUACCCGAAGAAAAAGCAUCGGCUAACUCCGUGCCAGCAGCCGCGGUAAUACGGAGGAUGCGAGCGUUAUCCGGAUUUAUUGGGUUUAAAGGGUGCGCAGGCGGAAGAUCAAGUCAGCGGUAAAAUUGCGGGGCUCAACCGCGUCGAGCCGUUGAAACGGGAUCCAUGGAGUUCGAGAGCAGUAUGCGGAAUGCGUGGUGUAG